GAACAACGCUGCAGCAACGAGUCACAGUUGUAAUGGCUGAGAGCGAGACGCAUGACGAGAACGCUACUGACUAUGAACUCGUGGCUAAAAAAAAUAGCACCUCGGUUAUUUGGAGGUACUUUGGAUUUGGUAAAGACGACGUUCUCCAAACACAGGUGCUCUGCAACACUUGCCGAACACUCGGCAACCACCAGAGGAAACACGACUCCACCAUCAUCUUCAACACAACCACAGAGAACUGUUUGAAGAGUUCCAGAAAGACCGGGCUAGCUAAUGUUGCUAAUGUUAGACAAAGAGCGCCGCAGCAACGGCCGUCUCUGUAUCAGAGUUUUUCAAGUGGAACAACUUAUGAGAAAACGUCGAAGCGCUACAAAGAAAUAACAGAGGCCAAAGACAUGAUGCCUAUAACUACAGUUAGCAGAGACGGCUUCACCAGUCUGAUACAUAAAGUGGACCGGAGAUACCGCAUCCCCUCAUGAAGCGACUUUUCCCAUGUCGCCAUUCCACAAAUGUACGAACCAUGCCGCUGGACCGUCAGGUUUGAACUGAGCCAAGCUGAAAGCUACACCAGCACUACAGUAAAGUUUCCUCUCCAGUUUCGACUGGCAUCAUAACUACUUGGUGAGAGCCUGCCUUUUGUCCCGUCUUCCUUCUUUCACUCCAACUGGUUGCAGCAGAUGGCCCCGCCCCUCCCUGAGCCUGGUUCUGCCGGAGGUUUCUUCCUGUUAAACAGGAGUUUUUCCUUCCCACUGUUGCCAAAUUCCUUGCUCAUCGGGGGUCAAUGAUUGUUGGUUUUUGUUUUUGAGAAUAAUCCAGCCUGUUCUGGGUUUGAACAAGGGCAUUGAAAUCUGGCUGAAUGUCUGAGGUGGCUAUGCGAAG
ensembl:lncRNA